UCUACUCAGACAUGGUGAGAGGCACAAUGACGCAGGGAAAUGCAACAACCUCUAAGGAGAAGGCAAAUAGCAACUCAAAACCAACUUAGAGUGUACACAAGGAAAAUCAGCAGGAAAAUCAGAACAGGCAUUAUAAUGGAAUGGUUUGAAGAUAUUCAUCGGAAGAAGAGCAGAAUGAUUCUAAGAGCCAAGAUGGUGGAAACCGGGUUUGCUGGAUCCAACAAGUCAAGUUGCACACAGCAAUUGUGAUGGCUCGUCCAAGACUUGCACAAGCUCCGUCCAGAAAAAAAAAAAAUCCACGAAUAAUGAUGGAGGAAGAUAUUUCUCUUCUGUACAGCCUGUUUCUGCAUCACAGCUGGGUUUUCAUGAAACCAAAGGCCCUCACCACGACACCAGCACUCUGCUCUCUUUAACCUUCUGUCUACAGAGAGCCACAUGAAAGCGAUGUAAUUUGACCAGAAGGAAGAGAAAGGAGUCUGCAUAGGUGCAAACAUCUGGAACAGAGGGAACCAUGAACCCAUCACUGAUUGCCUCAGUGCCCUUGACCUAAAGCUCGUGUGCUGGCGUGUUUGCAGUUUUCCUCUCUGCUUCCCACUUUUUG